UACGUAGGGUGCAAGUGUUGUCCGGAAUUAUUGGGCGUAAAGAGCUCGUAGGCGGUUUGUCGCGUCUGCUGUGAAAACGCGAGGCUCAACCUCGCGCCUGCAGUGGGUACGGGCAGACUAGAGUGCGGUAGGGGAGAUUGGAAUUCCUGGUGUAGCGGUGGAAUGCGCAGAUAUCAGGAGGAACACCGAUGGCGAAGGCAGAUCUCUGGGCCGUAACUGACGCUGAGGAGCGAAAGCGUGGGGAGCGAACAGG
rnacentral:rRNA from 1 species